rnacentral:ncRNA from 1 species
CCGGUACCGGUUCACGUCCGCUAUCCAGGGAUUUUCCCGAGGGCGACCCGGCGACC